CGCCCUUUGAGCCCUUCCGGUUUUAGAAUCUGUACGCUUUGUUGUUACUUUAAAAUCACAGAGCUUACGGAUUCUCGAACUGGUGGAGUAUUAAAC